CUGCUUGUUAGGCCUGGUGUUCCAGGCUGGAAUAUCCAACCACCAAUGUGUGUCUUCGGUGGAAUUUUAAGUUUUGAUAUAAGGAUUCUGAUUAUUGCUCUUAUUAAAUUCUGCUUGGUUAUAAACUGUAGGGUAAUAUGUAUAACUGCAAUUCCUUUUCAGGAAUCAAAACAAGAGGGAAACUUUCAGUCCUCGAUCUUCAUGUUUGCAAAGCUGUCAAUAAGUGUGAAUUGAUGCAGAGAUAAAUGCACAUUCUCAUUAGUUUCCUUUGAUGAAUCAGCAUCAUGAGUUUGGUUGGAAGCAUUUCUUAUCAGUUCAUUUGCAAAAUGUUGUGGCUCGUGCUCAAUUUUCCAUUUCCUAAUCAGUGUCUAUACUGAAGAUUUGGGAAGAGUCAUAUGGUUCACAUUAAACCAUGGAGAGGACUAGGUGUUUGCCUGAUCUCUCAGUGAAUAUCUGUUUUCCACAAGUGCUUUUUGUAUCUAAAACUUGGUUUAUGACACACAUGGCUGGUAGGAAAUAUAGAAGUGGAAGAUGCAAAACUAACAAAAAAAAUAGUGAAGGAUCUCCAAAAGCUUUAUGUCUAAGGAAGGCAGUUUUGUGGCACUUGCACAAAUGUGUUUCAGGGUCUUAUUAACUUCUAAUUUAAUUUUUUUGUUUGCUUAUGAAGCCUGUAGAGUGAGAAGGAGUGUUUUGUUUAUCUCAUUUCUCAAUUGGUCUCUGCACUGCAGGACUCACAGGGUGACUCUGGCAGCAAAAUUAGUAUCCUGAAGAUAAGAGGUUUUCUGCAAUAUAUAGAAUGCACAGAAAGGACAGCUGUGGAAGAACUUGGCUAUAAACAACAUCUCUAUUCCAAGCAGUAGUAAUCUGCAACAAGUCUUUCUUCUUUCCUUUGCUGUAAACAUAAGCACUGCUGUUAUCCAUGUCUAAUCCUUUCAGUAAUUCUACUGUCUUAGUUUCAGGGAUAAGUUGUAGUAAUGAAUUAUCCCAGUAUUAACUGGAUGAACCAGCUGGGAUGAAACAGAAAAUGCCAUUAUUACUGUGAAAAUUUUAGUAAAGAUGAGAGUGGAUGUUGAGGGGAUGGAGAAGGGAACAAACUGUCUUAAGUACUUGGUGUUCUUUUGUUCUUCCACAAUCUUUGCUGGGUUUGGCUUUUGUUUAAAACCAAGAACUUUUUAGUUCUAAUUAACGAAAGGAGUUCUAGUUGAAAAAUAUCCAAAACUGAGAUAGAUUGUGCUCAACAUGCUCAACAGUGACUAAAUUAAGCAGAUUAAAAUUAACCUAGGCUAGGUCAGUGUAACUAACUAACAUUUGUAUCCACCAGGAUCAGAAGUGAUGGAGUAACCUGUUGAGAGCACAACUUCAUUUUCAAGCAGCAGGGAUCAGUUCUGAAGCAACAGUGAAUAGUUUUAAAGGCAAUUUCAUAUUUGUUGGCUUUGCAUUUAUGAAAUAGCAUCUUUAAUAGAUGAUGUCUGAUGCUGCACUGUAAAGUUCCCAUCUUAGAAAUGCCAACAGACUGCACAGAUGCAGAGCUGCUGUAGAUUUCAAUAGGCAGCAGCUGCACAACCUCUCAAAGCUUUUUCAGUGAAUGACCACAAUCCCUAAAUCUAAUUUUAUAGAUCCUAGAUUCCUAAGUAGGGAAUAACAACAUAUUCCUGAUGAGCUGAAAGUCUUGUAAUUUAGUAGCAGAAUACGAUUGUUUCAGAGGAGUCCAUGUGCCCCUGAAUAUGAGUUUCCCAAGCCUGCCAUAGGAAUGUUGCCUGGUUCCAAAAUACUCACUAAGGCUCAGUGGCUUCUCUCAGGUUCAAGAUUCUAAAUCUGGGAUUCAGAUUUAAAAAUUUAGGCAGAGGGCUGUUAUAUCAGUGUAGAACUCCAUGGCUUACUUUGCUGAUUACAAAAUAUUUGUAAAGUACCUCUUUGUUCAAAUUGAUUGAUUUCCCCUGUAUUUUUCUUCUGCUUUUGAACACCUCAACGAGGACUUUAUUUCAGGGGCUUGCAUCUCAUCCUCAGCUUUCUGUAUUGUUUCUGUCUCCAAGACUUACUUACUCUGUGUGGAUUCUUUGUAUUAGUGAAGCUUGAGUUGUUAUUUACAGAAAGGGUAAGUAAAAGAAGAAAGUAGGAGAUGUGGUGGUGAGAAAUGAAGUCUAUGCUGAGUGUGUUCUGUUUGCUCCUGGAAUCCUGACCACUGCCAUAUCACUGGAGUGAUUAUCCAAGGCUGAGGGGAAGGCUUUAUUAAUCUACCUGAGGGCUCCUGCAGCCUGUGCAAGAAAAAGGAAAAAAGAGAGUUGAAUAUCCCAUGCUGACAGAGUGAAAUAAAGCUGCCAAGUUCUGCUGAGAACGUGGGCUCUGAUGUGUCUGUCACCUCCCUGGCAGUCACUCCUGCACACCCAGUACGUGGUUCAGAGCAUGACUGGAGCUGGCUCUGGCUCCCGAGAUGGGAAGUGGGUGCAAAGCAGUUCCUGGGAUAGAACCUCACCCUCACACGUGCUGCUGCUGCUGCUUCAUGCCCGGGUCUGAGCACGUGCUCACCAGCCUGGGACACUUCCACAACUGCAGGUCGCUUGUUUUCCUUCUGGGUGUAUCCACAGCUCUCUCCCUUUUCUCUUCUAAAGGCAAGAAUGAGCUGGCUAUGCUUAGUGAUGCAUGAAAUCAUUCUGGUCAUUUGGUAACCCAUCCCAUCCAAAUGUUUCUUUCCUUUCACUUUGGCCUUGCCAGGCAAUGGAAAGAAAAUACCUCUUCAGGUUAUAUUUUCGUGAGGAUUUGGUUGCCAUGAAAACUGAUGGGAGCAAGUGCUGUGACUUCACUGCUCUCCCUUCAAGUUGCUUUAAAAAAGACAUUAGAACCUGACACCUCACUAAGAAAUAAUAACUGUGAAGCUCCCAGUCUUGGCAGCUAAAGCUCAGUGCUUCAUGGAAACAGAUUAUCAGCCAGUUUCCUGCAGCCUUCCCUGACUCUUCUUCCCUCUUGAAGUGGGCACUUUGCACUUGUUCCAUCUGAUGUGUCCCUGUCCAGGCUGGAGCUUCUGUUAGCUCUGGCCACUUCCACAGAAAUUCAGAAUUAACUCAGAAUUAACUCAGAGUUAACUUCUAGAAUAUUUACCAUUAGUGCAAGACAGAGAGCAGCCAAAACAGCAGCAAUAUGUUGAUGCCCCUUAAUACCUGAAGUUGUUGCUAUUACUUGAUCAGUCUGUAGUUUUCCUAUAAUGAAGUUGCAAAUGUUUCUUAAACAAUUAUUGUUCAAAUUGAUUUUGAUCGAUUUGCUGGGAAGAAAAUCCCCCCCAAAACCACAGCAAGUGCAGUCUUCUCCAGGGGGAGGUUUCAAGAGGAAGGUUUGCCUCAAGUGCUAGUUGUCCUGCAAAACCUUUGAAAAUUAGGUUGUCCAGCCUGAGGAAACCAACCAAACCUAACAAACUUUAAAUCAUCUUUAUUUUCUUUCCCUUUGGAGCCAUGUUUACAGCUAACCUGAGAGAACACUGGUGUGCAGAGGUUUUUUAUUAGUUUUUUUUUUCUUUGCUUUUGGGGUUUUUUGUUUGUUUGGGGUUUUUUUCUGAUUUUGUGUUUUUUUUUUUUCAGUACUUUUUCUAAAUUUUUGUAAUUUUUAAUGCAAUUUUGCCGAUUUGUUAAGGUGGGAUCCAAGAAAGAAAAUACUUAAUCUUUCCUCUGCAAGCCCCAGGACUUCUGAGACCCAACACCCUGGGUUUGGCCCAGAGCUGGUGUCACCAUCCAGGUGACAAGAAGUCAAGAGGUGGGGCAGCAGCUCCCCAGCUGCUCCUGACAGUGGCUGGGAGCUGCUCCAUCCCCUUCCUCCAUGGGUCUCUUGCAGCAUCCAGAGAUGUGGGGUGGCUUUGGGUUGUCCCUCGCAGCUCCUCCCAUCUUUGCCGUGUGGGUUUAAGCGUGACCGAGCAUCACUUGCUGCCUGCUUUAUGUGCAGGGUGCUGUGUUUGAGUCUCUCUGGGGAUCCUGAUCCCUGCUCAGCUUCGUUCUCCUCCUCCUCUGAGCAGAAAUGGGUGAGGGUGGAGAUUUGGUGCCCUCUGGUUAUCAGUUUAUUAACCGUGUUAAUGAUGUGUGGAACCGCACGUCCCGCCUGGCUCCAGCCUGUGCCCAGACGUGCUCCAGCAUGUCAAUGCUGGCUGUGGGACCUGCUCCCAGCUCUGGGUGCUCCUGUGGCACAGAGCCAGGGCGUUAGCAACUUGUCCCUCCUCGUUGUGUUGCCACAGAGAUGCAGUAGGUUAAUUGUGGGAAUGGAAUCAAUCACCAUUAAAGCUGCCGGUGCUCGCAGGCUGAGGUGGUUUGAUGAGACGCUGUGCAUUCAGCACAGAACACAGUAAUUCUUAUCUUCAACUCUGGACUUCUUAACUUCUUCCCCUGCUGAUUGAGUUCAGGCCCUUUUCUGUGUCAUUAUUUAGUCUUUCCCUGGCUGUGUCUCUGGUUUUUUGUCUCCCAAGCCAGCCUGUUGAUUUUUGUACUCCUGCUGACAGCUGAACUAUUGCUUGAACUGCCUUAGCUCGCUGUCCAACUCACCAGUAAAUGAAACCUCCACAAGAGAUACCUACAGCUGAGAAAUGCCAUCAUCCCUGAUUGGUAUUCCCUGUACAAGAUCCCUGGUUGGUUGUUUCCAUGGUGCCAAGGUGUGUGUGUGGUGGCACUGCAAGGGAACUGUGAUGAACAUGGUGUAGGUGGGUCCUGGUGCAGUGACUCACAUCCAGCUGAUGUGGAGGUGGGUGUUUUCAGAGCUGGGCUUGAUUUGGUUUAGUUUUACCUUCACAUCACAGGUGUCCACUGCACAGAGAGGAGGUUGAAGGUAGAAAGCACUUCGGAAUAACUUGGAAAUUGGUCUCUUCGGAUACACUCAGCCCUCACCCCUUUUCUGUGCUUGCUUUGCCUGUUUGCUUUUGCUCCAAAAUAUACUAAUUUUCUUGUAAAAGGUGCUGUCACCUCUGGUUUUGUGAAACUAAAAUGUAAAACUUACUCUUUUGUAAAAAACUGCCUUCAUAAAUUAGAAAAGUCUA